UUAAGUUCAGCGGGUAUCCCUACCUGAUCCGAGGUCAAGCGCAUAAAUAUAGGCUUUAUGGACGCCACAAUACAGCGAAGAGCGCAAGAUGUGCUGCGCUCGAACAACUAAUUGUCGGCUGCCAAUUGAUUUAAGGCGAGUUCACGCGCAAAGCGGAACAAACACCCAACACCAAGCAGAGCUUGAGGGUACAAAUGACG
rnacentral:misc_RNA from 1 species